GCCAGACUCCUACGGGAGGCAGCAGUGAGGAAUAUUGGUCAAUGGCCGAGAGGCUGAACCAGCCAAGUCGCGUGAGGGAAGACGGCCCUACGGGUUGUAAACCUCUUUUGUCGGGGAGCAAAGCGAACCACGUGUGGUUCAUUGAGAGUACCCGAAGAAAAAGCAUCGGCUAACUCCGUGCCAGCAGCCGCGGUAAUACGUAGGGUGCGAGCGUUAAUCGGAAUUACUGGGCGUAAAGGGUGUGCAGGCGGUGUUGCAAGAUGGAUGUGAAAGACCCGGGCUUAACCUGGGAAAGCCAUACAUGACUGCAAGACUAGAGUGCGUCAGAGGGGGGUGGAAUUCCAAGUGUAGCAGUGAAAUGCGUAGAUAUUUGGAAGAACACCGAUGGCGAAGGCAGCACCCUGGGACGCAACUGACGCUCAUAAACGAAAGCGUGGGGAGCAAACAGGAUUAGAUACCCCAGUACAA
rnacentral:rRNA from 1 species